rnacentral:rRNA from 1 species
AGAGUUUGAUCCUGGCUCAGGACGAACGCUGGCGGCGUGCUUAACACAUGCAAGUCACGGGGGCUCGCAAGAGCAACCGGCGAACGGGUGCGUAACACGUGAGCAACCUACCGAUUUGCGGGGGAUAGCUGUCCUAACGGGCAGGUAAUACCGCAUACGCUCAUUGAGUCUCCUGGCUCGAUGAGGAAACCUCCGGGGCAAAUCGAGGGGCUCGCGGCCUAUCAGCUAGUUGGCGAGGUAACGGCUCACCAAGGCGGCGACGGGUAGCUGGUCUGAGAGGAUGGCCAGCCACAUUGGGACUGAGAAACGGCCAGACUCCUACGGGAGGCAGCAGUGGGGAAUCUUGCGCAAUGGACGAAAGUCUGACGCAGCGACGCCGCGUGGGGGAUGAAGGUUUUCGGAUCGUAAACCCCUGUUGCCCGGGACGAACUUCUCCAUUCGUGGAGAUUGACGGUACCGGGUGAGGAAGCACCGGCUAACUCUGUGCCAGCAGCCGCGGUAAUACAGAGGGUGCGAGCGUUGUCCGGAAUCACUGGGCGUAAAGGGCGCGUAGGUGGCACUCCAAGUCCGUGGUGAAAGCUCGAUGCUCAACAUCGAGUCGGCCACGGAAACUGGGGAGCUGGAGCACUGUAGGGGCAGAUGGAAUUCCGGGUGUAGCGGUGGAAUGCGUANAGAUCCGGAAGAACACCGGUGGCGAAGGCGGUCUGCUGGGCAGUUGCUGACA